rnacentral:misc_RNA from 1 species
GUUUCAAGUGGCAGAUUUGAGCAUGGUUAAUUUAUGGAUCCUUUCAAGACUGUAUUGGCAUAUCAUGAUUUUUUUUCCCCUGAUAUAGUGUUCCCCAUUAGCCUGUGGGGGCAUCGAAUCGAUGCAGCAUUAUGGCUCAUAUACCUUGCAAAGCAAUUUGUUUAUGAAUUUUCUUUGCUAGGCCUACUUCUUGUUGUUGUAUUUUUAACUUUUUUUAAGAGAGAGAGAGAGAGAUUAGCUCUCGCUGUUGUGGUCAAUAUUGCAUUCAAGUUCCUUUUCAAGGUGACACGGAUUUCCUUUAGUACUUUUAGAAGUUGGCAAAAGAUUUUUCUUUUGGUCCAUCAAGAGCCCAUUGGGAUU